UCCAGAAACGCCAGAAAAUGGCCAGAUACAUGCAGGAUUUCCAGUUGUACACAAAUUUGGUGAUGCAGUUAUCUACAAAUGUAAUCCAGGAUUUGUAUUGAUUGGAGAUUCUACAAUUUAUUGUACGGAAAAUAGCAAUUUUGAGCCAUCACCACCUAUAUGCAGGAAUGCAUCUGAGAUUACUCCUACAACUGCAAUUACCACUACUUCACCAGGUAGUCA